AAGUCGUAACAAGGUUUCCGUAGGUGAACCUGCGGAAGGAUCAUUAUCCUUAGCGUAGUAUCCUAAAAAGUACUACAAGCGCAUGCACACUUGUGUUGCGUAAAAAUGCACAGCGAUGAUGCCUAGUCAUUGUCGUUUUCAAAACCCAUGCUUGCUCUAGUAUGGUCGGGUACCUAAGCAUGUGCUUUAGCACAACGUAAGCGGUAGAUGCGUGUCUAUCGUGUGGCGUAAAGAUUAUUCAAGCCUUUGAAUAACGCCCGCUUAGCAAACUUUUUAUACCAAAUAUUAAUCGCAAUACUAUGUUGUAUGUGUAAAGCACUAUCUUAUUACUUAUAGGAUAAUAACACAAAUACAACCCUAUGCGGUGGAUCAUUUGGCUC
rnacentral:misc_RNA from 1 species